GUGUUCCCGCCCACACAAAGCCUUCCAGCGCCACCAUCAGAAAUGUUCAUGCAAAUUAGGUUGUAGACAGCCACCUUGUAAACAACCUAUCAUGUCAAUUAAUCCUCUUUUUCAUUGACACGUGAGGGAAGUAAAUACACAAGUGGGUAUUUAACAGAUAAGAGUUUACUGAAGCAUGCACCAAGUGCCAUUACACCUAAUCUCUUUGUAGAAAGUCACUGAUGGUGAUCUGCCUGCCACUGCAAACAAGCAUGGAUAAGCUAAUACAUGCUGAGAGUCAUCCAUACACUUUUUUCUGUUGACAUAUUAGUAGGUCCAUAAGGAUAUCAGCGGGUUGAUGUACAGCAGCUACCUACCUUGAAAAUAAUGCAUUAGUAUUCAAAGUAAGGAUGAACACCGAUGUGGAAUGGUAUAAAAACCCUCAACUGACACAUACACGGAAGGAAUUAUAAUUUAAGGACCAUACAGUUGCUGAUUGAUCACAUUGACUUGUGAUUUUAUAUCUACAGUAAAUGGCUCACUCAUGUUGAAGGUGAUGCUGAGCAUUAUUCUGCAAACUUUAAUAAACAGAAAUUUUAACCAUUUACAAUGAAA